GCGCCGGUGGUAUAAUGGCGCACGGCAUUCCCGCCCGGUUAGAGGGAGGUGCGGGUUCGAGUCCCGCCUGGCGCU
rnacentral:tRNA from 1 species